AUCUAACCGUGUAUUUAGAUUUUUAAUUUUGGGUCCAGUUUUCAAAUUGUUCUACAUUAAGGUCCAAAGGGUCCAAAAUUAAACUUUGUUUGAUUUUAACAAAAAUUGAAUAUAUGGGGUUCUUUGAUAUGCUGAAUCUAAACAUGUAUUUAGAUUUUUGAUUUUUGGCCCAGUUUUCAAGUUGGUCCAAAUUGGGGUCCAAAAUUAAACUUUGUUUGAUUUCAACAAAAAUUGAAUAUAUGGGGUUCUUUGAUAUGCUGAAUCUAACCAUGUAUUUAGAUUUUUGAUUUUUGGGCCCCGUUAUCAACUUUGUCCACAUUGAGGUCAAAAGGGUCCAAAAUUAAACUUAGUUUGAUUUUAACAAAAAUUGAAUUCUUGGGGUUCUUUGAUAUGCUGAAUCUAAAAAUGUGUUUAGAUUUUUGAUAAUGGGCCCAGUUUUCAAGUUGGUCCAAGUUGGGGUCCAAAAUUAAACUUUGUUUGAUUUCAACAAAAAUUGAAUAUAUGGGGUUCUUUGAUAUGCUGAAUCUAAACAUGUAUUUAGAUUUUAGAUUUUUGGCCCAGUUUUCAAGUUGGUCCAAAUUGGGGUCCAAAAUUAAACUUUGUUUGAUUUCAACAAAAAUUGAAUAUAUGGGGUUCUUUGAUAUGCUGAAUCUAACCAUGUAUUUAGAUUUUUUAUUUGUGGACCCCGCUAUCAAAUUGGUUCAUAUUGAGGUCAAAAGGGUCCAAAAUUAAACUUAGUUUGAUUUUAACAAAAAUUGAAUUCUUGGGGUUCUUUGAUAUGCUGAAUCUUAACAUGUGUUUAGAUUUUUGAUAAUGGGCCCAGUUUUCAAGUUGGUCCAAGUUGGGGUCCAAAAUUAAACUUUGUUUGAUUUCAACAAAAAUUGAAUAUAUGGGGUUCUUUGAUAUGCUGAAUCUAAACAUGUAUUUAGAUUUUAGAUUUUUGGCCCAGUUUUCAAGUUGGUCCAAAUUGGGGUCCAAAAUUAAACUUUGUUUGAUUUCAACAAAAAUUGAAUAUAUGGGGUUCUUUGAUAUGCUGAAUCUUACCAUGUAUUUAGAUUUUUUAUUUGUGGGCCGCUAUCAAAUUGGUUCAUAUUGAGGUCAAAAGGGUCCAAAAUUAAACUUUGUUUGAUUUCAUCAAAAAUUGAAUUCUUGGGGUUCUUUGAUAUGCCAAAUCUAACCGUGUUUUUAGAUUUUUAAUUUUGGGUCCCAUUUUUAAAUUGGUCUACAUUAAGGUCCAAAGGGUCCAAAAUUAAACUUAGUUUGAUUUUAACAAAAAUUGAAUUCUUGGGGUUCUUUGAUAUGCUGAAUCUAAACAUGUGUUUAGAUUUUUGUUUAUGGGACCAGUUUUCAAGUUUGUCCAAGGUGGGGUCCAAAAUUAAACUUUGUUUGAUUUCAACAAAAAUUGAAUAUAAUAUGGGGUUCUUUGAUAUGCUGAAUCUAACCAUGUAUUUUGAUUUUGGAAAUUGGACCAUAAUAGGUAAAUUAAAAAAAUUGAAGUUCUUAGACCACAUUCUUUCUGUGUCAGAAACUUAUGCUGUGUCAAAUAUUUAAUCACAAUCCAAAUUCAGAGCUGUAUCAAGCUUGAAUGUUGUGUCCAUACUUGCCCCAACUGUUCAGGGUUCGACCUCUGCGGUCGUAUCAAGCUGCGCCCAGCGAAGCAUUUUAUUUUUAUAUU